rnacentral:rRNA from 1 species
UACGUAGGGUGCAAGCGUUUAAUCGGAAUUACUGGGCGUAAAGCGUGCGCAGGCGGUUUUGUAAGUCAGAUGUGAAAUCCCCGGGCUUAACUUGGGAAUUGCGCUCGAAACUACUUUGCUGGAGUGUGGCAGAGGAAGGUGGAAUUCCACGUGUAGCGGUGAAAUGCGUAGAGAUGUGGAGGAACACCAAUGGCGAAGGCAGCCUUCUGGGCCAACACUGACGCUCAUGCACGAAAGCGUGGGGAGCAAACAGG